rnacentral:rRNA from 1 species
ACUGCUCAGUAACACGUGGACAACCUACCCUUGGGUCUGGCAUAAUCCUGGGAAACUGGGUAUAAUUCCAGAUAGGUCACAGAUGCUGGAAUGCACUGUGGCCGAAAGCUCCGGCGCCCAAGGAUGGGUCUGCGGCCUAUCAGGGUUGUAGUGGGUGUAACGGACCUACUAGCCUACGACGGGUACGGGUUGUGAGAGCAAGAGCCCGGAGAUGGAUUCUGAGACACGAAUCCAGGCCCUACGGGGUGCAGCAGGCGCGAAAACUUUACAAUGCGGGAAACCGUGAUAAGGGAAUCUCGAGUGCCAGCAUAUAAUGUUGGCUGUCCAGAUGCCUAAAAAGCAUCUGUUAGCAAGGGCCGGGCAAGACCGGUGCCAGCCGCCGCGGUAACACCGGCGGCCCGAGUGGUAACCGCUUUUAUUGGGUCUAAAGGGUCUGUAGCCGGCCAAGUAAGUCCCUUGGGAAAUCUGGCAGCUUAACUGUCAGGCUGCUAGGGGAUACUGCUAGGCUUGGGACCGGGAGAGGUGAGAGGUACCUUGGGGGUAGGGGUGAAAUCUUGUGAUCCUCGGGGGACCACCAGUGGCGAAGGCGUCUCACCAGAACGGGUCCGACGGUAAGGGACGAAAGCUAGGGGCACGAACCGGAUUAGAUACCCGGGUAGUCCUAGCCGUAAACGAUGCUCGCUAGGUGUCAGUCACGGUGCGACCGUGAUUGGUGCCGUAGGGAAGCCGUGAAGCGAGCCACCUGGGGAAGUAUGGCCGCAAGGCUGAAACUUAAAGGAAUUGGCGGGGGAGCAC